rnacentral:ncRNA from 1 species
GUGACUGCGUACCUUUUGUAUAAUGGGUCAGCGACUUAUAUUCUGUAGCAAGGUUAACCGUAUAGGGGAGCCGCAGGGAAACCGAGUCUUAACUGGGCGUUAAGUUGCAGGGUAUAGACCCGAAACCCGGUGAUCUAGCCAUGGGCAGGUUGAAGGUUGGGUAACACUAACUGGAGGACCGAACCGACUAAUGUUGAAAAAUUAGCGGAUGACUUGUGGCUGGGGGUGAAAGGCCAAUCAAACCGGGAGAUAGCUGGUUCUCCCCGAAAGCUAUUUAGGUAGCGCCUCGUGAACUCAUCU